ACCCUCUUUUAUCUCUCACAUCGCACGAUUAAUGGCGAGUGCCUCAGAUCUGCCGCCGACUGCUGUCUACCCGUCUUGAAUCGAUCUCCUGAUUGUUACGCACUUUUUGAUUUCGAAUUCUUCAGUUGCUAUAGCUAAUUUUCUCAUCUUUUGUGUAUACGUGCGUCGAAAUACUGAUUACCAGCGCCAUUGAUUCAAUGGGCGUUGCGUAUGAGCCGACGCAAAAUUUUGCUCUACCUGCUUCUGCAUUUCUAUCAGAGCUCGCUUUUUCGAGCUUUAUCCUAUCAGAACUGGUGAAAUUUCAUUCUAAUUUUCUCGUCUUUUCUAAAUACUAUCAUUUAGUUUUCUUCUGGUUUGUGGAACGAUUUCUUUAGAGAUGGAAAUGAUGAUUUUUUCCCCAGAUGAUUCGACGCUGAAAUAACUGAGCGCUCCUUUAUUUUCUCCCUUUGUGGAGAAAAUCCAAGCCAAAGUUCUGAUCCAUCUCUUAUUAUCAACUCAAAUUUGUAUAUUGCUACGUUUUCUUUAGUUUUAAUUAUCAAAUCUUCCGUUCCUUAUUCGUCUGGUAACACCAGGGAAGGUUUUUAUCGAUUGAAAUAUAAGUUUUUUUUUUACAAUGAUUGAAAUAUAAGUAUUUAAGUAUUAUGUUUCAAAUUGAUCUAGCUUAGUCCAUCUGUCUAAUAAAAUUAUUAAAUUAUGAAUUGUAAAAUGGAGGUGAUGAAUUUUUCCCCAGAUGAUUCGACGCUGAAAUAACUGAGCGCUCUUAUGUUUUCUCUCUUUGUGGAGAAAAUUCAAGCCAAAAUUCUGAUCCAUUUCUUUAUAUAAAUUCAAUUUCAUUAGUGUAUGAUAGGAAAAAAAAAGUUCUGUUCUGUUUUACGAGCAAUAAAGAAAAAUUUUCUCGUCGCUAUUGUCACUUAUCUGCCUCUUAAUUUAUAUUCACAUGAACAUAAUAAAAUUGAAUAUUGAACUGCGUUAGCAUAUACAAUGUCUGAAAUAUUGUAAUCAAUUAGUUGGAUGGAGGUGAUGAAUUUUUCCCCAGAUGAUUCGACGCUGAAAUAACUGAGCGCUCUUAUAUUUUCUCCCUUAGUGGAGAAAAUCCAAGCCAAAAUUCUGAUCCAUCUAAUUUCAAAUUUAUUUUCAUUAGUUUUGAGUAGAAAUUGUAUUUUUUUUCUUGCAUUACGAGCGAAAAUAGGAAUAAAUUUAUUGAAUUCUGAAAUGAUUUACCAUACAUUAUUGUCAAAGAUAAAUGAAUUAAUUCAAUAAUAGAUAAAUGAAUUAAUUCUUUGGAUGGAGGAGGUGAUGAAUUUUUCCCCAAAUGAUUCGACGUUGAAAUAAGUGCCCUUGUAUUUCUCUUUUGAGGAAAUUCAAGCCAAAAUUUUGAUCCAUCUUUUUAUGUAAAUUCAAAUUUAUUUUCAUUAGUUUUGCGCAGAAAAAGUCUAUUUUUUUCCUGCUUUUACAAGCAAGAAAUAAAAGUUUUCUUAUGAUCA